GAGUUUGAUCUUGGCUCAGAGCGAACGCUAGCGGCAGGCCUCAAACAUGCAAGUCGUACGCGAAAGUGUAGCAAUACAUGAGUAGAGUGGCGCACGGGUGAGUAACACGUAGCUAACCUCCCCUCUCGCUGGGGACAACUCCGGGAAACCGGAGCUAAUACCGAAUAAUCUAAUCGAGUCUGCGGGCUUGAUUGGUAAAGUCGUAAGACGCGAGAGGAUGGGGCUGCGGCCUAUUAACUAGUUGGUAGGGUAAUGGCCUACCAAGGUGACGAUAGGUAGCUGGUCUGAGAGGACGACCAGCCACACUGGAACUGACACACGGUCCAGACUCCCACGGGAGGCAGCAGUUGGGAAUAUUGGACAAUGGGGGCAACCCUGAUCCAGCCAUGCCGCGUGAAGGAUGAAGGCCUUCGGGUCGUAAACUUCUUUUAGUCAGGGAAAAAGGGAAACGUUAGAUGGUACCUGCAGAAAAAGACACCGGCUAACU
rnacentral:rRNA from 1 species